AUUUAAAUAGUUUAAAAAUUAAAAAUUCUAAUUUGUGAUAUUAGAGAUGUUUGAAAUUAACUUUAAAUU
rnacentral:tRNA from 1 species